GGCGAACGCUGGCGGCGUGCCUAAUACAUGCAAGUAGAACGCUGAAGAGAGGAGCUUGCUCUUCUUGGAUGAGUUGCGAACGGGUGAGUAACGCGUAGGUAACCUGCCUUGUAGCGGGGGAUAACUAUUGGAAACGAUAGCUAAUACCGCAUAACAAUAGGUGACACGUGUCAUUUAUUUGAAAGGGGCAAUUGCUCCACUACAAGAUGGACCUGCGUUGUAUUAGCUAGUAGGUGAGGUAACGGCUCACCUAGGCGACGAUACAUAGCCGACCUGAGAGGGUGAUCGGCCACACUGGGACUGAGACACGGCCCAGACUCCUACGGGAGGCAGCAGUAGGGAAUCUUCGGCAAUAGGGGCAACCCUGACCGAGCAACGCCGCGUGAGUGAAGAAGGUUUUCGGAUCGUAAAGCUCUGUUGUAAGUCAAGAACGAGUGUGAGAGUGGAAAGUUCACACUGUGACGGUAGCUUACCAGAAAGGGACGGCUAACUACGUG
rnacentral:rRNA from 1 species